AGUGAACGCUGGCGGUAGGCCUAACACAUGCAAGUCGAACGGCAGCACAGUAAGAGCUUGCUCUUACGGGUGGCGAGUGGAGGACGGUUGAGGAAUACAUCGGAAUCUACUUUUUCGUGGGGGAUAACGUAGGGAAACUUACGCUAAUACCGCAUACGACCUACGGGUGAAAGCAGGGGAUCUUCGGACCUUGCGCGAUUGAAUGAGCCGAUGUCGGAUUAGCUAGUUGGCGGGGUAAAGGCCCACCAAGGCGACGAUCCGUAGCUGGUCUGAGAGGAUGAUCAGCCACACUGGAACUGAGACGCGGUCCAGACUCCUACGGGAGGCAGCAGUGGGGAAUAUUGGACAAUGGGCGCAAGCCUGAUCCAGCCAUACCGCGUGGGUGAAGAAGGCCUUCGGGUUGUAAAGCCCUUUUGUUGGGAAAGAAAAGCAGCAGGUUAAUACCCCGCUGUUCUGACGGUACCCAAAGAAUAAGCACCGGCUAACUUCGUG
rnacentral:rRNA from 1 species